rnacentral:rRNA from 1 species
AGGAAUUUCGCUACCUUAGGAUGGUUAUAGUUACCACCGCCGUUUACUGGGGCUUAAAUUCUCCGCUUCACCCUUUCGGGUUAACAGGUCCUCUUAACCUUCCAGCACCGGGCAGGCGUCAGUCCGUAUACAUCGUCUUACGACUUCGCACGGACCUGUGUUUUUAGUAAACAGUCGCUUCUCACUGGUCUCUGCGACCGGAUCCCGCUCCCACCGCAAGGGUGUUCACGAUAUUCCGGCCCCCCUUCUCCCGAAGUUACGGAGGCAUUUUGCCGAGUUCCUUAACCAUAGUUAUCUCGUACGCCUUGGUAUGCUCUACCUGACCACCUGUGUCGGUUUGGGGUACGGGCCGCAUGUAUGCUCGCUAGAGGCUUUUCUUGGCAGCAGAGGCUUACCGAAUUCGCCUCAAUCGGCUAUGCAUCACCUCUCAGGAUUCACGAACGACGGAUUUGCCUAUCGCUCUCCCUACGGGCUUGCUCCAGUAUUACCACUGACUGGUACGGCUACCUUCCUGCGUCACCCCAUCGCUUGACUACUACCAACGAAGUUCCCACGCAGCCCCGAACCUCCAUAGCCCCCGAAGGGGAUAUGGUCGAUCCGGUUUUGGGUGGUGAGUACCGCUGAUUCAUCACGGGCGCACACACACGGGUACGGGAAUAUCAACCCGUUGUCCAUCGACUACGCCUGUCGGCCUCGCCUUAGGUCCCGACUCACCCUGGGCGGACUGGCCUGGCCCAGGAACCCUUGGUCUUACGGCGGGCAAGGUUCUCACUUGCCUUAUCGCUACUCAUGCCUGCAUUCUCACUUCCCCACCCUCCACCACCGGUUACCCGGAGGCUUCGCUGAAUGAGGAACGCUCCCCUACCCACAUCCACCCUAGAAGGUGAAUGUGCCGCGGCUUCGGCGGUGUGCUUGAGCCCCGCUACAUUAUCGGCGCACAAUCACUUGACCAGUGAGCUAUUACGCACUCUUUCAAGGGUGGCUGCUUCUAAGCCAACCUCCUGGUUGUCUUUGCGACUGCACAUCCUUUUCCACUUAGCACACGCUUAGGGGCCUUAGCCGGCGAUCUGGGCUGUUUCCCUUUCGACGUACGGAGCUUAUCCCCCGCCGUCUCACUGCCACGCUUUUAAACCACGGCAUUCGGAGUUUGGCUGACGUCAGUAACCUAGUAGGGCCCAUCGGCCAUCCAGUAGCUCUACCUCCGUGGUGAACCACGCAACGCUGCACCUAAAUGCAUUUCGGGGAGAACCAGCUAUCACGGAGUUUGAUUGGCCUUUCACCCCUACCCACAACUCAUCCCCUCAAUCUUCAACUUAAGUGGGUUCGGGCCUCCACGCGGUCUUACCCGCGCUUCACCCUGGCCAUGGGUAGAUCACUCCGCUUCGGGUCCAGAACACGCCACUACACACGCUCACACGUGAUACGCCCUAUUCAGACUCGCUUUCGCUGCGGCUACCCCACACGGGUUAACCUCGCGACAUGUCCCUGACUCGCAGGCUCAUUCUUCAAAAAGCACGCCAUCACCCCACAAAGAGGCUCUGACGGAUUGUAGGCACACGGUUUCAGGUACUAUUUCACUCCCCUCCCGGGGUACUUUUCACCAUUCCCUCACGGUACUGAUCCGCUAUCGGUCAUCGAGAAGUAUUUAGGCUUACCGGGUGGUCCCGGCAGAUUCACAGCAGAUUCCACGGGCCCGCUGCUACUCGGGAAUUGAUACAAGGCAGGUGCCAGGCUUUCGCGUACUGGGCUCUCACCGUCUACGGCAGGCCAUCCCAGGCCAUUUCCGCUAACCACGGCACUUUCUGACUACCCCUCAACCAGGUAGAGUUGAGACAUACCAAUCCCACAACACCGCACACACAACCCCUACCUAGUUAGACAUGUGUGCGGUUUAGCCAUAUUCCACGUUCGCUCGCCACUACUUGCGGAAUCACAAUUGUUUUCUUCUCCUACGGGUACUGAGAUGUUUCACUUCCCCGCGUUCCCUC